GGGUUGUGAGGUUAAGCGACUAAGCGUACACGGUGGAUGCCUUGGCAGUCAGAGGCGAUGAAGGACGUGCUAAUCUGCGAUAAGCGUCGGUAAGGUGAUAUGAACCGUUAUAACCGGCGAUUUCCGAAUGGGGAAACCCAGUGUGUUUCGACACACUAUCAUUAACUGAAUCCAUAGGUUAAUGAGGCGAACCGGGGGAACUGAAACAUCUAAGUACCCCGAGGAAAAGAAAUCAACCGAGAUUCCCCCAGUAGCGGCGAGCGAACGGGGAGCAGCCCAGAGCCUGAAUCAGUGUGUGUGUUAGUGGAAGCGUCUGGAAAGGCGCGCGAUACAGGGUGACAGCCCCGUACACAAAAAUGCACAUGCUGUGAGCUCGAUGAGUAGGGCGGGACACGUGGUAUCCUGUCUGAAUAUGGGGGGACCAUCCUCCAAGGCUAAAUACUCCUGACUGACCGAUAGUGAACCAGUACCGUGAGGGAAAGGCGAAAAGAACCCCGGCGAGGGGAGUGAAAAAGAACCUGAAACCGUGUACGUACAAGCAGUGGGAGCCUCUUUAUGGGGUGACUGCGUACCUUUUGUAUAAUGGGUCAGCGACUUAUAUUCUGUAGCAAGGUUAACCGAAUAGGGGAGCCGAAGGGAAACCGAGUCUUAACUGGGCGUUAAGUUGCAGGGUAUAGACCCGAAACCCGGUGAUCUAGCCAUGGGCAGGUUGAAGGUUGGGUAACACUAACUGGAGGACCGAACCGACUAAUGUUGAAAAAUUAGCGGAUGACUUGUGGCUGGGGGUGAAAGGCCAAUCAAACCGGGAGAUAGCUGGUUCUCCCCGAAAGCUAUUUAGGUAGCGCCUCGUGAAUUCAUCUCCGGGGGUAGAGCACUGUUUCGGCAAGGGGGUCAUCCCGACUUACCAACCCGAUGCAAACUGCGAAUACCGGAGAAUGUUAUCACGGGAGACACACGGCGGGUGCUAACGUCCGUCGUGAAGAGGGAAACAACCCAGACCGCCAGCUAAGGUCCCAAAGUCAUGGUUAAGUGGGAAACGAUGUGGGAAGGCCCAGACAGCCAGGAUGUUGGCUUAGAAGCAGCCAUCAUUUAAAGAAAGCGUAAUAGCUCACUGGUCGAGUCGGCCUGCGCGGAAGAUGUAACGGGGCUAAACCAUGCACCGAAGCUGCGGCAGCGACGCUUAUGCGUUGUUGGGUAGGGGAGCGUUCUGUAAGCCUGUGAAGGUGUGCUGUGAGGCAUGCUGGAGGUAUCAGAAGUGCGAAUGCUGACAUAAGUAACGAUAAAGCGGGUGAAAAGCCCGCUCGCCGGAAGACCAAGGGUUCCUGUCCAACGUUAAUCGGGGCAGGGUGAGUCGACCCCUAAGGCGAGGCCGAAAGGCGUAGUCGAUGGGAAACAGGUUAAUAUUCCUGUACUUGGUGUUACUGCGAAGGGGGGACGGAGAAGGCUAUGUUGGCCGGGCGACGGUUGUCCCGGUUUAAGCGUGUAGGCUGAUUUUCCAGGCAAAUCCGGAAAAUCAAGGCUGAGGCGUGAUGACGAGGCACUACGGUGCUGAAGCAACAAAUGCCCUGCUUCCAGGAAAAGCCUCUAAGCAUCAGGUAACAUCAAAUCGUACCCCAAACCGACACAGGUGGUCAGGUAGAGAAUACCAAGGCGCUUGAGAGAACUCGGGUGAAGGAACUAGGCAAAAUGGUGCCGUAACUUCGGGAGAAGGCACGCUGAUAUGUAGGUGAAGUCCCUCGCGGAUGGAGCUGAAAUCAGUCGAAGAUACCAGCUGGCUGCAACUGUUUAUUAAAAACACAGCACUGUGCAAACACGAAAGUGGACGUAUACGGUGUGACGCCUGCCCGGUGCCGGAAGGUUAAUUGAUGGGGUCAGCGCAAGCGAAGCUCUUGAUCGAAGCCCCGGUAAACGGCGGCCGUAACUAUAACGGUCCUAAGGUAGCGAAAUUCCUUGUCGGGUAAGUUCCGACCUGCACGAAUGGCGUAAUGAUGGCCAGGCUGUCUCCACCCGAGACUCAGUGAAAUUGAACUCGCUGUGAAGAUGCAGUGUACCCGCGGCAAGACGGAAAGACCCCGUGAACCUUUACUAUAGCUUGACACUGAACAUUGAGCCUUGAUGUGUAGGAUAGGUGGGAGGCUUUGAAGUGUGGACGCCAGUCUGCAUGGAGCCGGCCUUGAAAUACCACCCUUUAAUGUUUGAUGUUCUAACGUGGACCCGUAAUCCGGGUUGCGGACAGUGUCUGGUGGGUAGUUUGACUGGGGCGGUCUCCUCCUAAAGAGUAACGGAGGAGCACGAAGGUUGGCUAAUCCUGGUCGGACAUCAGGAGGUUAGUGCAAUGGCAUAAGCCAGCUUGACUGCGAGCGUGACGGCGCGAGCAGGUGCGAAAGCAGGUCAUAGUGAUCCGGUGGUUCUGAAUGGAAGGGCCAUCGCUCAACGGAUAAAAGGUACUCCGGGGAUAACAGGCUGAUACCGCCCAAGAGUUCAUAUCGACGGCGGUGUUUGGCACCUCGAUGUCGGCUCAUCACAUCCUGGGGCUGAAGUAGGUCCCAAGGGUAUGGCUGUUCGCCAUUUAAAGUGGUACGCGAGCUGGGUUUAGAACGUCGUGAGACAGUUCGGUCCCUAUCUGCCGUGGGCGCUGGAGAACUGAGGGGGGCUGCUCCUAGUACGAGAGGACCGGAGUGGACGCAUCACUGGUGUUCGGGUUGUCAUGCCAAUGGCACUGCCCGGUAGCUAAAUGCGGAAGAGAUAAGUGCUGAAAGCAUCUAAGCACGAAACUUGCCCCGAGAUGAGUUCUCCCUGACCCUUUAAGGGUCCUGAAGGAACGUUGAAGACGACGACGUUGAUAGGCCGGGUGUGUAAGCGCAGCGAUGCGUUGAGCUAACCGGUACUAAUGAACCGUGAGGCUUAACCUUACAACGCCGAAG
rnacentral:rRNA from 1 species